GCAGUAGCCGCGGUAACACGAAGGGUGCAAGCGUUACUCGGAAUUACUGGGCGUAAAGCGUGCGUAGGUGGUGGUUUAAGUCCGUUGUGAAAGCCCUGGGCUCAACCUGGGAAUUGCAGUGGAUACUGGAUCACUAGAGUGUGGUAGAGGAUAGUGGAAUUUCCGGUGUAGCAGUGAAAUGCGUAGAGAUCGGAAGGAACACCUGUGGCGAAGGCGACUAUCUGGGCCAACACUGACACUGAGGCACGAAAGCGUGGGGAGCAAACAGGAUUAGAGACCCCUGUAGUCCCUGUCUCUUAUAA
rnacentral:rRNA from 1 species